GCUUGUUUCAGCAGACACACACUAAAAUUGGAAUGAUACAGAGAAGAUUAGCAUGGCCCCUGCUCAAGAAUGACACGCAAACUCGUGAAGUGUCCCAUAUUUUU
ensembl:snRNA U6 U6 spliceosomal RNA